rnacentral:lncRNA from 10 species
CCAGGCUUUAUCUUGUUGAGUAGUUGUGAAGAGUAAACCUUCACAUGAAGCAUAGGGCCGUCUCCGUGGGGCCGAUGCGACGGCAGGCGAAGGCGAUGGAGCUCUGGCUCGAGGGCUUGGCCGGACGACGGUGACACUGGUCGCCCGCCUGCUGGAACUGCAGUGACCGAGGUCCUGGCAAGGAUUAUUCAAGAUCAGGUUGUAGCCAUUUUCAACAAGGAUCACUGAUCAAAAUUUUCUUUUUACAAAGAGAUUUACAAGUUAAACAUGAAGGGAAAAUACUGGAAUCAUUUGGAUUCUGACAGGAUAAAGAAUACAAUAUUUCACAUUUACUUGUAAUGGAACCUUUGUAAGAUUCAUCACUUGUCAUUCACCCAGUUGGGAACAUGGAUGUUGGUUUUUCUCGUACUACUGUUCAGACACUGUCAAGAAGCCACUGCAAAAACAUCAAACAAAAAAUUUCUCAAUGGGAAGGAAGGGCUAAUGGUAUAUCUAAUCCAGAAAAGUGGUGUCCAAAGGACUUUGGAGUGAGAUAUAACUGUCACCAAGAGAUCCGUCUUAAGAAAAAUCCUAUAGCUGAGAGAAAGAGCAAAAACUUGGAUGUAACCAGCCGUGAAAAUGUGGGUCUAGAUAUAAAUGAAAAUACCAAAAGCCAUGAUCAAAGUGAGAAUGA